rnacentral:rRNA from 1 species
GUGUUGCAUGGCUGUCGUCAGCUCGUGUCGUGAGAUGUUGGGUUAAGUCCCGCAACGAGCGCAACCCUCAUCCUUAGUUACCAUCAGGUAAUGCUGGGGACUUUAAGGAAACUGCCAGUGAUAAACUGGAGGAAGGUGGGGAUGAUGUCAAGUCAUCAUGGCCCUUAUGGAGUGGGCUACACACGUGCUACAAUGGUGGCUACAAUGGGCUGCAAAGUCGCGAGGCUAAGCCAAUCCCUUAAAAGCCAUCUCAGUUCGGAUUGUACUCUGCAACUCGAGUGCAUGAAGUUGGAAUCGCUAGUAAUCGUGGAUCAGCACGCCACGGUGAAUACGUUCUCGGGUCUUGUACACACUGCCCGUCACGCCAUGGGAAUUGGUU